rnacentral:rRNA from 1 species
AGUGAACGCUGGCGGUAGGCCUAACACAUGCAAGUCGAACGGAAGCACCGUGAGAGCUUGCUCUUCCGGGUGGCGAGUGGCGGACGGGUGAGGAAUACAACGGACUCUACUUUUUCGUGGGGGAUCACGUAGGGAAACUUACGCUCAUACCGCAUACGACCUACGGGUGAAAGCAUGGGAUCUUCUGACCUUGCGCGGUUGAAUGAGCCGAUGUCGGAUUAGCUAGUUGGCGGGGUAAAGGCCCACCAAGGCGACGAUCCGUAGCUGGUCUGAGAGGAUGAUCAGCCACACUGGAACGGAGACACGGUCCAGACUCCUACGGGAGGCAGCAGUGUGGAAUAUGAGACAAUGGGCGCAAGCCUGAUCCAGCCAUACCGCGUGGGUGAAGAAGGCCUUCGGGUUGUAAAGCCCUUUUGUUGGGAAAGAAAAGCAGCAGGUUAAUACCCCGCUGUUCUGACGGUACCCAAAGAAUAAGCACCGGCUAACUUCGUG